CUAUUUUGGCAGAACAAAUGUGCUAAGUUUAGAAUUUAUUAAUGUAAUUUUACAAAUAGAAA
rnacentral:tRNA from 1 species